UCUCAAUAUCACCCCUCCCUCCCUCCCACCAACAAGCAUCAGUUUUCCUUCUUCCUCAGUAUUUCCCUACAUCAUGAUUCCACUUUACAUACCUAUAAUCCGUAAACCCUAAACAUAAUUUCGCGAUAAAAUAGAAAUUCACAUCAUAUUAGUUUUUUAAAAAAUCCAUUUAUUUCAGUGUAUUUUUAUUAAGAGAUAUAUAUAUUUUUAUUAAGAGAGUAUAUAUUAUGUAUAGAUCGGGAGCUGUAAUGGCAUGGAAUGUAUUCAGGUUUUGUACUGCCUUACGAGGGCUUGGGUCGAUCAUGAUCCUUUUGGUUCUUGGUGUUGUAGGAGUUACCUAUUACGCUGUCGUUUUAACCAAUUAUGGUCCUUCUAUUGCCGGUAGUAGUGGUCUUCUUGAUGUCCUCAUCGCUCUUUCAGUACUCGUCGUAUUCCAUUGUCUGGUAAUUUUUAAUCCCUCCGUUUCAAUUUGUUUAUCAUAUUUUAACUUGACAUUGAGUUUAAGAAAGUUAAAAAAAAACUUUUAAAUGUUUGUGGUCUUAAAUUAAAAAUGUAUCAUAUGUACUAAAAUGUCUUUACACUUGUGUUCUUAAACAUGCCAUGCCACGUGGUAAGUUAAAAUUAAAUAGUUGAAACGGAGGGAGUACAAUCAAAAUUAAAUAGUUGAAACGGAGGGAGUACAAUCAUAAGGAAUCUGUUAGAGUUGAAGCAUUGGAAAUCGAAAUUGAAUUUUUAAUAGUCACCACUGAUUCGAAUCCUGCGGAUAAUGUGCUUGUAUAAGAUGUACUUAAGUUUUGGUGGUAAUGGUUUUAUUUUAACGGAAGGUAGUGACAGGGGUUAAACGUUUGUGCUAACUGAUAAUGUCUUCAAUAUUAACUAAACAGAUCACCGGAGUUUAUAGAAAGAAAAGUUUGAGAGAUUUUAAAUUCGUCUCGGUUAUCGAGUUCUGUUUCAGAGCUGAAGUGGGACUCUGGAUGGAUUAGAAGUUAUAUUAAGUAGCUAAAAGUACCAUAUUUGUGAUGGUUGCAGUUGGUGAUGCUUCUGUGGUGUUACUUUUCUGUUGUUUUUACUGAUCCUGGUAGUGUGCCUCCAAAUUGGAGGCCAGAGUUGGAUGAAGAAAGAGGGGAAGCUGAUCCGUUAACCGCGUCAGAAUUCGG
rnacentral:lncRNA from 1 species